rnacentral:rRNA from 1 species
UACGGAGGGGGCUAGCGUUAUUCGGAAUUACUGGGCGUAAAGCGCACGUAGGCGGAUCGUAAAGUCAGAGGUGAAAUCCCAGGGCUCAACCUUGGAACUGCCUUUGAAACUUCCGGUCUUGAGUUCGAGAGAGGUGAGUGGAAUUCCGAGUGUAGAGGUGAAAUUCGUAGAUAUUCGGAGGAACACCAGUGGCGAAGGCGGCUAACUGGACCAUUCUUGACGCUGAGGAACGAAAGCGUGGGGAGCAAACAGG